rnacentral:rRNA from 1 species
ACGGCGUAGUAAUGCAUCGGAACGUACCCUCUGGUCGGGGAUAGCUACGGGAAACUGUAGGUAAUACCCGAUGAUCUCUGCGGAGCAAAGGUGAGACUCCGCCGGAGGAGCGGCUGAUGUGAUAUUAGCUAGUUGGUGGGGUAAUGGCCUACCAAGGCGAUGAUGUCUAGGGGGUGUGAGAGCAUGGCCCCCACGACCGGAACUGAGAUACUGUCCGGACACCUACGGGUGGCUGCAGUCGAGAAUCUUCCGCAAUGGACGAAAGUCUGACGGAGCGACGCCGCGUGCGGGAUGAAGGCCCUUGGGUUGUAAACCGCUGUCAGAGGGGAUGAAAUCUUCGGAGGUACUCCUUCGAAGUUGACAGAGCCUCAAAGGAAGCACGGGCUAAGUACGUGCCAGCAGCCGCGGUAACACGUACUGUGCGAACGUUAUUCGGAAUCACUGGGCUUAAAGGGUGCGUAGGCGGCGAAUCAAGUCAGGUGUGAAAGGCCUGAGCUCAACUGAGGCAUUGCGCUUGAAACUGAUUUGCUUGAGUAUCCCAGGGGUGUGCGGAACUGCCAGUGGAGCGGUGAAAUGUGUUGA